AGAGCGAACGCUGGCGGCAGGCUUAACACGUGCAAGUCGAGCGGGCGUAGCAAUACGUCAGCGGCAGACGGGUGAGUAACGCGUGGGAACAUACCUUUUGGUUCGGAACAACACAGGGAAACUUGUGCUAAUACCGGAUAAGCCCUUACGGGGAAAGAUUUAUCGCCGAAAGAUUGGCCCGCGUCUGAUUAGCUAGUUGGUGAGGUAAUGGCUCACCAAGGCGACGAUCAGUAGCUGGUCUGAGAGGAUGAUCAGCCACAUUGGGACUGAGACACGGCCCAAACUCCUACGGGAGGCAGCAGUGGGGAAUAUUGGACAAUGGGCGCAAGCCUGAUCCAGCCAUGCCGCGUGAGUGAUGAAGGCCCUAGGGUUGUAAAGCUCUUUUGUGCGGGAAGAUAAUGACGGUACCGCAAGAAUAAGCCCGGCUAACUUCGCGCCAGCAGCCGC
rnacentral:rRNA from 1 species